rnacentral:rRNA from 1 species
AUGACUCGGAAAGUAAUAAUACCCUCGUUCGCUGGCAUAGGGUACCGCGAAUCGAAGACGAGCGAGCGCUUCGUACGCAGCAACUUCUAUGGCCAUAUGCGGAGUCGGCAUGGAUUUCCCCAUGAAGGAGACUUCCGUUGGGUCUUGGUUUGGGUUUGCGGGAGGGAUGUUCACCACUGCCCAAUAUUUCGAGGUGGAUGGGGUGAUCCUUUAUUUGAGCAACUCGUACUGGGGUGGAUGGAUAACACUCAUGGUACUGCAGGUAAAGUCCCACAAUAUUUUGACAAAACUACCUGGGGUUGCGUCUGGAGUUCUCAGAUAAAUACUGGGGGUCGGCAUGGCAAAGAAAUGGCUGUGCGUGUUGUGCACAAGGUGAGGGGUACUUGGCAAGGUCACGAGGUGGCCUUUUAUAUAGCAUUGGGGUUGGGUUAUUUACCAUGGUGA